GCGGGUGUGGUAAACGUUUCCAUGGUAACAGCGAGCUCCACCAAUCAAUGAAGUCGUGUCCUGAAUUACUAGGCCCACAGAGCCACAGUCCUGAAGAGGAGCUAGGCUACUUUCGGCUAAGGGAAGGCAAAUGCUAACCUCACGAGCUCCCCUCCUGGGCGCACAAUGAUGAAUUUGGAUUUAAACGACUAUUUGGAAUCUGGCGUGUUGCGGUGACUGCGACUGGAUGCCUUGACUCUCUUCAUGGUUACCCGGCCAGCUCUGUGUUCCUUCUCAAGAUUUCCUCCUUGCUAAUUAAGGUUUCCUGAUGAGUUCUGAGGGAGUCUGAUGGACUUCAAUACCCAGAGAAACCCCUGGAGAAAGACAAGAAGAGACUAGCAUUGUGAACCGCUCUUCAGUAACAUGCUCUAACAUGAAAUAUUGUACAGAGUUUAAACCCAUAAUGCAAAAUGACAUAAAAUAUCCUAUAGUAUAUGUUCAUCAAUCUCAUAAUUAUCAUAUAUUAUAAUGGUUGACAAUAUUUCCUAAUGGAUUAUUCAAUUGAUUCUAGUUAUUACCUGUGAAGUAAAGUAUACACAGGAGUCUCAUUUCAACUGAUGCUGCCCUUUGCUAUCCAGUAGAAGCUAAGGUAUUGCAAACCAUUGUGUAUGAAGCCAAUAGUUGUGUGAGGCGGAGCAGGAAGUGAUGUCCCCAGACACUGGUAUACCAAUGUUUCGGUAGUGAUAUGGGAGGGAAUUGGCACAUUGCUCUCCUGGGUCUCCUGGGAACAUCUGGCAACCAUUACCAUUUCAUUAGCUUAAGGCAAUAACAUAAUAUAUAUAGGCUAUGUGUCCUUCAAUAAAUAUCGAGAUUAACGCAAUAAUUCUGAUUAUUGAAGUAGAAAUGGUUUCAGUAGGGUAAAUUGCUAUCCGAUCAAAGGGCUGCUAAGUUUCUUGGUUUCAUUGGUUUGUGGAUAUGUUUGAUAUGAAUUCUCAAUUACAAAGACAUUUCAUCUAUUGUUUACUUUAAAAUUACACUGGUGGAAAUUGUUCUUAAACGUCUACUUCAACUAGAGAAAAGACGUACAAGCACACCCACGUACCCCAUUUUAUUUUUAUUUUCAGCCACCAUGUGCCUUGUAUAACAUCUUGCCAAAGGACUACAGUUGAAAAUUAGCCUGCUGGCUAACACUGGCACAUUUACAGAAAUGUUGAUCAAUGUGCACUGUCCUUUAAAUAAAUAAAUAAAUGAAAAAUGAAUGGGUCUACGGUAAAUGCUUUAUCGGCAGUAGUUUGGUCAGUAAGAUCUUCCCUUAAAUAAUAAUGUAAUAUUAUGUUGUUUAUGUCCCAAAGUAAGCUAACCAUGUGGGUUUAGUCACUUGGCUCCAGACUGAAGCAUUUCCCAUAGUGAACCAAAGGUUGUGUGUUGUAAAGUCCCUGUUAGUUGGUCAUAUCGUAUUGCGUAUAUAUAUAUAUAUAUAUAUAAAAUGUGUAUAUUGUUAUUUCUAUUCAGGCACUUGAGACAGCCCAGGUAGCGCCGUAGGGUCCUAGAGUUUUACUAGGUGCACGGGAUUGCAUAACCCGCCAUGACAGAAUGCGUUCGUGAAGAGUGAGUUAAUACUGAACAACGUAUUAUUUACGUAUAUUUAUGUAGGAUAAAUGUUGUAUGCAGUCCGAAAUUCUGUUCCAUAUAGUGGCCUUGAUUUUGUGUGUUUGAGCUGGCUUCUGCUAUUGUGUUAGUUGAUUCACUCACUAAUCGGGCAGCUAGUGUAUAAGUCUGCACCGCGUGUAGACAUUGCAUAUGUGUACGUCACUCUGCUGCGCCGUUGUCGGCUGUUAUAUUGUACUGUGUUAACGUGUGUAUGUGGAAGCUAUUCAUGCAAGUUAUGUUUAUAUAGCAUUCAUGGGAUGUUGUUAGUACUAAAGCCCGGUGCUUUAGUGUGUGAAUCUUGUAAUAAUUAUUUGUCUAUUUUCUUACUGUCUUACAGAAAACCAUUCACAUUUAUUUAUUCAUUCCUUCAUUCAUUUGAUUAUUCAUUAAAGCAAUCAUUGAUGUCAUUCGCCUAUUCAAGAUAUAUAAACAACAAAAACUGUGUAUGCGUCUACUCUCUGACCGGAGUUGCCGUCUUGAUAAAGUGGUCCCAGCACACACACGCACAUUCUUCAAUAUUGUGUUUCUGGCACUAAAUGAAAGCGGAGAUCCAUCUGAUGCUAUAGCAGUUGCUGCAGGUGCAGGGAGGUUAAUCAGAUGAAUUAUUAGACAAGGAGUUAUUGUACGGUGAACCCCUAAUAUGCUGCAUUGUGGAUACUAGCAGCACAGAAAUACACAGCACUGCUCUCCAUGCUGACGUUCUGUAUCGUUAACAUGGCAAUUUGAUCUUUUUCAGCACUCCCACUCAUUGCAACAGCCAUUCCUAUUUCGGGUUUUGCCUCCGUCAUGAAUAUGUACCCCAGGAACUGGAGCUGUUCAUCGUUGCGUUGUUGCUUAUACCAGAGUAUUCGGUUGUAGUCCUGAAUGCUGUGGGAGCAUUUCAGUGGGGCCAUUGCUCUUGACUCAAUGGCCACAACCAUCUCGGGCGGAGUUUGGUGAACCUUGUCGCUAUUAGAUGCACCUAUGGAGAAAAUAAGAACCAAAGAGGCAAAAUUGAAAUGUGGGGACUGGAUACAGUCAUUAGUAUUCAGAUGUGGAGGAUCUGCUUUAGUCGUGGAGAACUAGUCACAAAUGUAACAUUGUAGAAUGUCCAACAAUGAAGCCAAAUAAGAUGGCAUUUAAGGAAAGUACCUGAUACGACCGUAAAUGAAAUUGUUAGAGCGAGGAAUGUGAUUGUCAACAUAUUUGUCUCGUGAUCAGUCGAUGCUAGUUAGCUUGUGACUGAUCCUAAUAAACACAACCCUAAUUCAGUACAUUUCCUACGUGCGAUAACCUUUCAACUUGCAUCGUUUUGAUGGCAGUGGCUCCUAUUUCCAUCUCGCAACCAUACCGGAACCCAAGUGUGGGAGGAGCCAUUUUGUGUAAAUGUUUAGAAGAGAGGAAGUGAUGCCAUCAGAAUGUCUAACCGUACAGCACUGAUGUUCACCUAGACUCUGUAUUGGCCAUCCAGUCCCCUCCUCCCACUAUUGUAUGAUGUACGUCCUGGCACCUCAUUUACGCACUUACUGUAUGUUGUUUUUAUUCAUAGUACCUAAUUGUAUAGCAUCUGCAUUAGCUAGCUCACUGCAACAGCGAAGGGGUUAACCUUGCGAUUGUUAGUACUUGUGCUUGGUUUAUGAAAAUCGUUACUGCACAGGCAGCGAUAUAUUGUUUCACUUCUUAUGAAUGUACUUAUUGUAAGUCACUUUGGCUAAAAGUGUCUGCUAAAUGCCCUAAAUGUAAAUGUAUGGUGGUGACAUUUUUUGUAGAGACUGGAACCAGUUGGAUAUAGAAAAAAAUUAUUGCUAACCCCGAAAAGAUCGCUUUCAGUUUUGUUGAGGAAAAUCCCUCAUGUAGUAUGUACAAUAAUGAAGACAAAUCUGACUAAAUCGUGGGAAAGAAGCUGAGACAACCGUAAACUUAAUUAUUUGAAUACAGUAUCUCCUAUUUCCACCUCACAAUCGUACCGAAAUGACAAAUGUGGGAGGAGACAUUUUGGGUAAAUAUUUAGAAGAGAGAAGGUAAUGCUAUCAAAAUGUUAAAAAUGUCAUCCCUGAUCUGUUAAAUUUUCUUUUUUUAUUGUAACUUCAACACAAACCAAUUAAAGAACACCCCCUAGUGCUGGGUAUUUGUA